CGGCGGCCGUAACUAUAACGGUCCUAAGGUAGCGAAAUUCCUUGUCGGGUAAGUUCCGACCCGCACGAAAGGCGUAACGAUUUGGGCACUGUCUCAACGAGAGACCCGGUGAAAUCAUAGUACCUGUGAAGAUGCAGGUUACCCGCGACAGGACGGAAAGACCCCAUGGAGCUUUACUACAGCCUGAUAUUGAGGCUUUGUGCAUGAUGUACAGGAUAGGCGGGAGACGUCGAGCCCGGAGCGCCAGCUUCGGAGGAGUCACCCUUGGGAUACCGCCCUUCAUGCAUAGAGUCUCUAACUCGCAGCCGUGAUCCGGCUGGAGGACCGUGUCAGGCGGGUAGUUUGACUGGGGCGGUCGCCUCCUAAAGAGUAACGGAGGCGCCCAAAGGUUCCCUCAGAAUGGUUGGAAAUCAUUCGUAGAGCGCAAAGGCAGAAGGGAGCUUGACUGCGAGACCUACAAGUCGAGCAGGGACGAAAGUCGGGCUUAGUGAUCCGGUGGUUCCGCAUGGAAGGGCCAUCGCUCAACGGAUAAAAGCUACCCUGGGGAUAACAGGCUGAUCUCCCCCAAGAGUCCACAUCGACGGGGAGGUUUGGCACCUCGAUGUCGGCUCAUCGCAUCCUGGGGCUGGAGUAGGUCCCAAGGGUUGGGCUGUUCGCCCAUUAAAGCGGUACGCGAGCUGGGUUCAGAACGUCGUGAGACAGUUCGGUCCCUAUCCGUCGUGGGCGCAGGAAAUUUGAGGAGAGCUGUCCUUAGUACGAGAGGACCGGGAUGGACGCACCGCUGGUGUACCAGUUGUYYYGCCARRRGCAUMGCUGGGUAGCUACGUGCGGACGGGAUAAAUGCUGAAAGCAUCUAAGCAUGAAGCCCCCUCCAAGAUGAGAUUUCCCUUUGAGUAAUCAAGAAAGACCCCUCAGAGACGAUGAGGUAGAUAGGUCACGGGUGGAAGCAUGGCGACAUGUGGAGCUGAGUGAUACUAAUCGGUCGAGGCCUUGUUCUA
rnacentral:rRNA from 1 species